CCUACGGGGGGCAGCAGUGGGGAAUAUUGCACAAUGGGGGAAACCCUGAUGCAGCGACGCCGCGUGAGUGAAGAAGUAAUUCGUUACGUAAAGCUCUAUCAGCAGGGAAGAAAAUGACGGUACCUGAGUAAGAAGCCCCGGCUAACUACGUGCCAGCAGCCGCGGUAAUACGUAGGGGGCAAGCGUUAUCCGGAUUUACUGGGUGUAAAGGGUGCGCAGGCGGAAGAUCAAGUCAGCGGUAAAAUUGAGAGGCUCAACCUCGCUCCGCCGUUGAAACUGGCGUUCUUGAGUGGGCGAGAAGUAUGCGGAAUGCGUGGUGUAGCGGUGAAAUGCAUAGAUAUCACGCAGAACUCCGAUUGCGAAGGCAGCAUACCGGCGCCCAACUGACGCUGAAGCACGAAAGCGUGGGUAUCGAACAGGAUUAGAUACCCCAGUAGUC
rnacentral:rRNA from 1 species